rnacentral:rRNA from 1 species
UACGAAGGGGGCUAGCGUUGCUCGGAAUCACUGGGCUUAAAGGGCGCGUAGGCGGGCACGCAAGUCAGGGGUGAAAGCCCACGGCUCAACCGUGGAAGGGCCUUUGAUACUGCGUGCCUGGAGGGAGGUAGGGGCGUGCGGAACUUCCGGUGGAGCGGUGAAAUGCGUAGAUAUCGGAAGGAACACCGGUGGCGAAAGCGGCGCGCUGGACCUCUUCUGACGCUGAGGCGCGAAAGCCAGGGGAGCAAACGGG